rnacentral:rRNA from 1 species
AUUGAACGCUGGCGGCAGGCCUAACACAUGCAAGUCGAACGCGUGGCGGACGGGUGAGUAAUGUCUGGGAAACUGCGCGAUGGAGGGGGGUAACUACUGGAAAAGGUAGCUAAUAUCGCAUAUCAUCGGAUGUGCCCAGAUGGGAUUAGCUAGUGGGUGGGGUAACGGCUCACCUAGGCGACGAUCCCUAGCUGGUCUGAGAGGAUGACCAGCCACACUGGAACUGAGACACGGUCCAGACUCCUACGGGAGGCAGCAGUGGGGAAUAUUGCACAAUGGGCGCAAGCCUGAUGCAGCCAUGCCGCGUGUAUGAAGAAGGCCUUCGGGUUGUAAAGUACUUUCAGCGGGGAGGCGUUACUCGCAGAAGAAGCACCGGCUAACUCCGUGCCAGCAGCCGCGGUAAUUC